GAUGAACGCUGGCGGCGUGCCUAAUACAUGCAAGUCGAGCGAACAGACGAGGAGCUUGCUCCUCUGACGUUAGCGGCGGACGGGUGAGUAACACGUGGAUAACCUACCUAUAAGACUGGGAUAACUUCGGGAAACCGGAGCUAAUACCGGAUAAUAUAUUGAACCGCAUGGUUCAAUAGUGAAAGACGGUUUUGCUGUCACUUAUAGAUGGAUCCGCGCCGCAUUAGCUAGUUGGUAAGGUAACGGCUUACCAAGGCAACGAUGCGUAGCCGACCUGAGAGGGUGAUCGGUCACACUGGAACUGAGACACGGUCCAGACUCCUACGGGAGGCAGCAGUAGGGAAUCUUCCGCAAUGGGCGAAAGCCUGACGGAGCAACGCCGCGUGAGUGAUGAAGGUCUUCGGAUCGUAAAACUCUGUUAUUAGGGAAGAACAAAAGUGUAAGUAACUAUGCACGUCUUGACGGUACCUAAACAGAAAGCCACGGCUAACUACGUG
rnacentral:rRNA from 1 species